UACGAAGGGGACUAGCGUUGUUCGGAAUCACUGGGCGUAAAGCGCACGUAGGCGGAUUCGUAAGUUAGGGGUGAAAUCCCGGGGCUCAACCUCGGAACUGCCUUUGAUACUGCGGGUCUCGAGUCCGAUAGAGGUGGGUGGAAUUCCUAGUGUAGAGGUGAAAUUCGUAGAUAUUAGGAAGAACACCGGUGGCGAAGGCGGCCCACUGGAUCGGUACUGACGCUGAGGUGCGAAAGCGUGGGGAGCAAACAG
rnacentral:rRNA from 1 species